AAUAUUGCACAAUGGAGGAAACUCUGAUGCAGCGACGUCGCGUGAGUGAUGAAGGUCUUCGGAUCGUAAAACUCUGUCCUAAGGGACGAUAAUGACGGUACCUUAGGAGGAAGCCCCGGCUAACUACGUGCCAGCAGCCGCGGUAAUACGUAGGGGGCGAGCGUUGUCCGGAUUUAUUGGGCGUAAAGGGUGCGUAGGCGGCCUUGUAAGUCAGAUGUGAAAGAUCAUGGCUUAACUGUGGUAAGCAUUUGAAACUGCAGGGCUUGAGUACAGGAGAGGAGAGUGGAAUUCCUAGUGUAGCGGUGAAAUGCGUAGAUAUUAGGAGGAAUACCAGUGGCGAAGGCGACUCUCUGGACUGAUACUGACGCUGAGGCACGAAAGCGUGGGGAGCAAACAG
rnacentral:rRNA from 1 species